rnacentral:lncRNA from 1 species
GAAGAGUGGUCGCCUCGUAUCUGGCACAUCCUGUAUGUGGCACUUCACAUGCUCUGAGCUCGCUGUAAGUAGAAGACCAUGAAUAUCAUACAACAUACUGUACUAAAAAUUUCUGUAUCUAUCUGAUCACAAGCCCUGAAAUGUAUGUACUCACUCUGUUUUUAUCCAUAUACACAGGAUGUGUGGUUGCUGACCAAGAAGCCGGGUUGGUGCAUGGAAUGGAGAUGAAAUUAAGAGUAGCUUAACUAAUUAUAGACUAGAUCGCACUGGUUAUUGUAAUCCUAUCUAUCUAUCUAUCAAUAGAUCUAGUACUUUGUCUUUAUUUGGCGGGCUGGUAAACAGACAAACACACAAAUGGCCAAACAAACAAACUAGAGGAGGAUUCUGCUGCCCAGCUUGGCGCGACCAACACCAAUGUCUUGUACUGGGAUAUCUCCAUCUCCUGGCAAUCGUUCCUUGAUUGAUGGUGCGACAUCGUACCGGGGCAUCUUCUAAGCAACGAUGAAUGAAUGUAUUGGUGUUGGGGGGUUGAAAAUGAAACCAGGAAUUGUGUUUGUUUCGUGUCUCAGUUUGAAUCAACCUGCAACUGUCUGUCGCAAACACCUGCUCCUGCUCACUCUUGAGGUUCCAACGCAACGGGCACAAGUAGGGAGGGAGAUAUUCAGCGUAACAGCUACCUACACUGCUGCUGAGAUACGAUUAGGCGCUUAUGGAAGUUGGAACUGAAUUUUUUUGAACUAAAGCAGCCACGACACAUAUUUUGGGACGGAGAGAGUACUUCAAUGCUUGUUCUGCUGUCUAAGUCUACAUACAUAUACUACCACUUGAGCAUUGUGUGCUGCGUUCAGAGGUACUAUUUGGUAAACAGGCAUGGAGGAAUACUCCCUCUGUUCAAAGCUCACAUUCUCAUUUCUCAAGCAUGGAAGAUACUCCCCCUGUAAACUAAUAUAAA